rnacentral:rRNA from 1 species
CGUUAAAGAAAGAGCGAGCUACGCGUGGUAGUAGGGCUCGAGUAGAGAGAAGAAGGAGGCAAGGGGUGCAGCCUUUUCUCCCUCCUUUUUUAAUGGAGGAAGGUGUUGGCGGCAGGGGGCUCUACGCGGCGGAUGGACGACGAGGAGGGGCGGGUGAAGAGGUGGGCGUGCAGAGGGGGCGCGAGCCUCAGGACGUUGUCGUACUGGCUCACCGCUACCGUUCCUGCUAGGGGCAUCAUACGACGAGGAUGGAGGAUGGUUUAGCGUCCUGCGGGUCGGUCCCGCGACUUAAGCUUGGAGAUGCUAGGUCUGGCUGGCUAGCCCUGGCCCCGAGGCGUUACUGGGCUCGCUUAGGGCAUCGCCGCUCGCCGCCGCUCCGCAGCGGCAGCGGCAGCGGCCUACCGCCGUCCUUGGGCAAGCGGGGCGAGCAGCUCGACACCGCGGCCUGCUACGUCGGAGAACCCCUGAUGCCUAAGCCGUUCGCGUCGCAGACCCUUCCGCCGCACCCCGAGAAGUACCAGAAGCCCCGCCGGGACGACCGCGAGCGCGAGCCGACCGAGGCCCCCAAGGUCGACGCGAGCGCGAAGGCGUUCAUGUCGCGGCACAAGCUCAAGUCGGUCCGCACGCCCUAGACGCAGCCGUGCGGGGAGUCCUAUGCGCCACAGUGGCAGCCCUCGCAGCAGGCGCAGCUGAGAAGUGAGUCCUCAUAACUACGGAUACAACUCCAACUUCUACUACUUUAAUAACACGGGGCAUUAAGUAACCAACUCCACUUAGUUAGACCGGAGGAUUACCUCUGUUACUAGCUAUAAUGUGGUUUUCUAGGUGAGGGUUGUGGAAGUCAACCAGGUGACCUCCGUCUGACAAGGUUUCUUCCGAAUUAGGAGACACUGUUUCUCUCUUACUUUCCUGUUGUUCCUCAUUCGAAUCUACGUUACCACCCAUAUAAAUGGGCAGAUCCUUCUCUGUACCUCCUUUAACCACAAGUGUUUUCGAAGUUCAACCGCCUUUUCCAACGUAGAUAUUACCUUCUUCGUGUUGGAGAGGAAAGUGCCUAACUUCGUAAUCGACUUCUUCAAGUUGGAAACGAGAGCCUCCACGCACUAUCACUAGAACACUUCCUACACCUCUGAUAUCGAUUUCCGGACCGACUGCGUAGACCACUAAAUUCUUCCAACUUUAGGAGGUACGAAUGGGGACUCUUGUCACUAGAUUAGUUCGUCAGAUAUAAGUGGGAAUAUAAAUGAGACUUCUUGUAACUCUCAUAAUCGAGCCUGUAGAGACCAAAGUGGCCGCUGCUCCGCUGUGCCGCCUUGUAGUUCGACGACUAGUUCAGGGAGUCGUCUGAUAACACUGGGGAGUCAACUUGACUUGUUGCACCUAUAGGCAUCUCAUCCGGUAGGCAGGUCUACCCCAGCCUCGUAGAAAUUCUUCUAUUCGACUAAAAAAAAAGACGUAAGAACAGUUCUUUUCGUCAUAAAUAAGAACAGCAGCUCAAUACGAUCCGGGUAAAAACAAAACACAAAACACGUCGUGCCACACCAACUCGUUCACGUUUGUUCCUUAUGAGGGUAACAAAGAAUGGCCACCGUAAGGAACUAGCCAGACAGCAGCAGCCAUGCCGUGUUAAGUUGCGUCGUCCGAAUCAUCCUGGUUAUCGAUGACCAUCGUGUAGAGUGGUAGCCAGUUAAGUUAGGAACCUGAACACGAGAGACGAAAACAAACACACCACCUUCACCUUACCUUAGUUUGCGCUGCUGCUUACAUCGGAGUGUUGCCCACGUAGCCAGGUCAAAGCUAGCACACCAGAAGGUAAAGCACGGAGCAGCCUAUAUUCGCCGUCAUACAAUGAUAUAAGUAAUAAAAAGGUCAAAGUUAACGCACACGCACGUUUUGUUCGACGUCCGGCACGUGCGAUCCGCGGUUCGGUUAUUUAUUAGGUCGCGGCAAAGGU